rnacentral:tRNA from 1 species
AUAUAUUUUAUAUUUAUAUAUAAGGGGCGGAUGUAGCCAAGUGGAUCAAGGCAGUGGAUUGU